rnacentral:rRNA from 1 species
CUGGAAACAGCGGGGUGCCUCUCUUCGGAGGGGAGCGGUGAGACAGGUGGUGCAUGGUUGUCGUCAGCUCGUGUCGUGAGAUGUUGGGUUAAGUCCCGCAACGAGCGCAACCCUUGCCCUUAGUUGCCAUCAUUAAGUUGGGCACUCUAGGGGGACUGCCCGGGAUAACCGGGAGGAAGGUGGGGAUGACGUCAAGUCCUCAUGGCCCUCAUGUCCAGGGCUACACACGUGCUACAAUGGCCGGUACAAAGGGCUGCGAAGCCGCGAGGCGGAGCGAAUCCCAAAAAGCCGGUCUCAGUACGGAUUGCAGUCUGCAACUCGACUGCAUGAAGGUGGAAUCGCUAGUAAUCGCGGAUCAGCAUGCCGCGGUGAAUACGUUCCCGGGCCUUGUACACACCGCCCGUCACAUCACGAAAGUCGG